ACGAACGCUGGCGGCGUGCUUCACACAUGCAAGUCGAACGGUGAAGCGCCUUCCUUUUUGGUGGGUGUGGAUGAGUGGCGCACGGGUGAGUAACACGUGAGUAACCUGCCCCCUUCUUCUGGAUAACCGCAUGAAAGUGUGGCUAAUACGGGAUAUUCUGGGUCUGUCGCAUGAUGGGUCUGGGAAAGAUAUUGUUUCGGUGGGGGAUGGGCUCGCGGCCUAUCAGCUUGUUGGUGGGGUGAUGGCCUACCAAGGCGGUGACGGGUAGCCGGCCUGAGAGGGUGGACGGUCACACUGGGACUGAGACACGGCCCAGACUCCUACGGGAGGCAGCAGUGGGGAAUAUUGCACAAUGGGCGCAAGCCUGAUGCAGCGACGCCGCGUGAGGGAUGGAGGCCUUCGGGUUGUGAACCUCUUUCGCCAGUGAAGCAGGCCUGCCUCGUUUGUGGGUGGGUUGACGGUAGCUGGAUAAGAAGCGCCGGCUAACUACGUG
rnacentral:rRNA from 1 species